UACGUAGGGUGCAAGCGUUGUCCGGAUUUAUUGGGCGUAAAGAGCUCGUAGGCGGUUUGUCGCGUCGGCUGUGAAAACUCGGGGCUCAACCCCGAGCCUGCAGUCGAUACGGGCAAACUAGAGUUCGGCAGGGGAGACUGGAAUUCCUGGUGUAGCGGUGAAAUGCGCAGAUAUCAGGAGGAACACCGGUGGCGAAGGCGGGUCUCUGGGCCGAUACUGACGCUGAGGAGCGAAAGCGUGGGGAGCGAACAGG
rnacentral:rRNA from 1 species